UACAAGUACACGGGGAUGUUGUCUUAAACUCUAGAAGUUCCUUCCAGAGUCAAACCUACUUCUCAAUGUGAAAGUGAUGAAUGUGUGAGAGUCCAUACUUCAAAUGCCAGGAAAUGGGAGGCCUUGCAUUUCAUCCCUCUUCUUAGCCACCAGCCAGCGACCCAGAGCCCCUGCAGCAGGAGGGCUCCCACGGACUCAGCGCAAGUCCAGCAAAGCAUCUCUGGGCUUCAGUUCUACUGAGGGGUGUGCAUGUUUAACAAUGAGAGUUGGCCCAGAGGAAAGAAGUUGCCAAUACAUGCAAAUGUCCACUAGCUUAUGUCACCUCUGCCCCCCACAACGCCACAUAUGUGGCCACGCCUGCCUAUCAAAAUAAUGGGAUAAUUGGGUACAGCGUGUGCCGCCCCCACCCCUUACUGAAAGCAUGCCAGUCGGUCUCUGUGGGAACCCACAGGGAGCAGGGUGAGCAACACACCACUGUCUGCCUUCUCCGUGAUUGCAUCUGUGCCCUGCAAACCCCAACAGAAUUGAACUUACAUCUCCUCUUAAUUAGGGGAGAGAGGAAGACAAGAAUGAUAGCAGAAGAAUUUCUUCCUGCCUCUGACGGCAAGCUCUUCAGGGACAGAACAUUAAGCUCUCCCUCUGUCUGCCCCCGGCCUCCGACUUCUCUUUCCUGACUGAUAUCUGGCGUACCUAACACAGUGCCAGGCCCUCCCUGGGACCGGUGCCUGUGUGUGAUGAGAGUGAUGAACAGGGGCUGGUUGGAAAAGCUAGACCCGGCCCUGGUGGCCUGUCUCCGG
rnacentral:lncRNA from 1 species